rnacentral:tRNA from 1 species
CAGAAAAUAGUUUAGCUCAGAAUCCUGGCUUUGGGAGUCAGGGGUGGGAGUUAGAGUCUCCCUUUUCUGG